AAAAAGGCAAACCCUAGAUUUCCGUGUCCAACUUUGACUGUCCGUCUUAUAUAAAAAAAAUUAUAAUUCGUAUUUUUAUUGUUGUUAGAUGAUAAAACAUGAUUAAUAUUUUAUGCGUGACUUGUAUUUUUAAUUUUUUUUAUAAUUUUUUGAAAUAAGACGGACGGUCAAACGUUGGGCACGGAAACCAGGUUUCUCUUUUU
rnacentral:pre_miRNA from 1 species